GGAAAAGCAAUGAAUAUGUGGGCAAAAGGGUGAAGACAAAGAGAGGGAAGCCAAAGAGGAAGUGGAUGGAUAAAGUAGAAGAACAUCUGAAGAAAUAGGGUUUGACUGGAAAAAAGGUGCAGGACCAAGCUGUUUGGAGAUGGUUGAUCAAGCACAUCGACCUCACAUAGCAGUGGUAAAAAGAUAAAGAGGAAGAAGAAGUUAAAACAUAUUAUUUGUAUAACAUAGAAAAUAUUAGAGUGUGACCAUUUUUUACACUUAACUUCUCAAUGUCAACAAUACAUAGACGUUAUGGCCAAGAUUUAAAAAAGAACAACUACUUUGUUUCUGUUUAUCUUUGCAGAAGAAGUGACUGAAGUGAAAGAAGAGGAGGUUACAGAGGUGACCGAAGAAGAAGUUACUGAAGUAAAAGAAGAGGAAGUUACAGAAGCGACACAGGAGGAAGUUACUGAAGUGACUCAAGAGGGGGUUUCAGAAGAGACUUAAGGACUAACAGACUUAGACACAACACUUUGACGCUGGCCUGAAGAAUCACCCCAGUGACUGGACUUGCGACUGUUUCGAACUGAUAGGACACACUCACUUCCAAAGGAACUCUCUGAAGACUUUUGAAAUAAUGGAGAAUCAUUGUGGAAAAUGGUUUUCAUUAUUAUUUGAAAAACAUAUACCCACAGCUCAAAUUCUCUUCUGUCUCCUGGGAAUGUUUUGGAAAUUACUGUUUUGAAGACAUGGAGCAUUGUAUAUUUUAAAAUUCAUUAUAACAUUCAUAAAAGUGGAUUUUCCUAGCACUUGGACCCCAGCUCAGUUUCUGGUCAUUUUCUAUGUAGAAUAUGCAGGUCGAUUGACUUCUGUACUUGAACAUUGGACUCUGGAUAAGAGUGAAUGUUUGACAUAUAAGCUACUGUACAGAAGAGCUGAGAAGCAUCUUAUUACAGCACCUUUUUGAAAGGUCAGGCACUUAGAUCUUCUGGUUUAAGGAUUCAGUAUUGAAAAUGAAAAGUGUUCCCAUUACAGUACAUUUAAAACAGGUUGUGUCCAGCAUGCUUGGCAUGGCACACCCCACCUUAUAUAGAAUGGCUGACUUGGCAGUUACUUAUUAAUUGUAAUCAGGAAUUAUUUAAGAGUCAUUCACCCCCAAAUUACUUUUGACAGUUCCUAAAAUCUCAUUUUCCUUACCAAAACCCUAAAGUAGCCAAUGAUUAAACCAGAGGUGGGUAAGCGGCCCACCUACCUUUGUCAUUGGCCCAUCCUAUAACUUUGCUUUUUCAUUUUUUUUUCUUCAAAUAAAAAUUAGCAUAUAUUGUAUAUAAUGCUGGUCAAAGCCCAUUUGUAGCCCUAGAUGGGAUUAACGUGUGUCAGAUCUUGUUAAAAUCCAUGGUGUAUGCAUAAAGGGGUGCCAUCGAUGUUGCCCCUCAUUGCCUAUAGCAGGUAGUCAGUAUUAGUAGACUUGGAUGAGCUUCAAAAGCACUAACGUGCCUAUUGGUGUACAGAGUGUGGGCAUUUAUACUUUCAUAAACUGGGCCUAUUCAAUAUUAUCAGAGUUUGAAGUCCAGAGCUCCUUUGUGUUAACUCAGUUCUCCCCCUCAGUGUCUGGAGUGUGUGCCCCUUAACUUGCGUAAAUUACACUCCUCAAAUGACGGAGCACUAGGCGACAACCUAUGUCUCCUAAUGGAUCGACUGGCUCUGACUGCAUAUUGCACUUUCACUGUAAUACACAUCUCCUUUGAUUAAAAUAUCUUACAGAGCAAAAUUACCAGUGGUAGCUUUAUCACCACAAAAGUUCAUGUAACUCUUACAAAAAAUAUUUUGAAAAGCGCAUAUUUGAAUGGCAAUUAUACAGCGUAACAAUGUUUAUAAAAUAAGAGUGACUUAAAAUGUUGCCAAUCACAGCUACUCAGACGUGUCUUUAACAGGAGGCUAUGGCUGCAUUCCAUUUACCUCAGAUAUUGGAGCACAAAAAAGGUUUUCCAGGAUGUGUCAAUAUUGAUUUUCCAAAUGUUGUACUAGAACAUGGUCAACUCGGGUGUGAUGCCAUUCGCAGCUCCGACAUCUGACUUGCAAGGUAAAUGGAAUGCAGUUUUACAUAUUUGGAGUUACUUAGCCGUCCCAUUGAGUUGAUUUGUAUGAUUUACUGUUGUUGUUUAAAAAGAAUGAACUGUUUGCAAAUCAUGAGUUACCUUUGAGUUGGGUCUUGUUGGAAGGAAAUGCAAAUGAGGUCUUAACAAAGAGCCGUUUUAUGUUUUACCAGUAACGGCGUACUGCACGAUAACAUGCAGUGAAUAUACUUGACUUGAGCAUUCCUAG